rnacentral:rRNA from 1 species
AUGCGAUACUUGGUGUGAAUUGCAGAAUUCAGUGAAUCAUCGAAUCUUUGAACGCACCUUGCGCCCUUUGGUAUUCCGAGGGGCAUGCCUGUUUGAGUGUCAUUAAAUACCAUCAACCCUCUUUUGACUUCGGUCUCGAGAGUGGCUUGGAAGUGGAGGUCUGCUGGAGCCUAACGGAGCCAGCUCCUCUUAAAUGUAUUAGCGGAUUUCCCUUGCGGGAUCGCGUCUCCGAUGUGAUAAUUUCUACGUCGUUGACCAUCUCGGGGCUGACCUAGUCAGUUUCAAUAGGAGUCUGCUUCUAACCGUCUCUUGACUGAGACUAGCGACUUGUGCGCUAACUUUUGACUUGACCUCAAAUCAGGUAGGACUACCCGCUGAACUUAAGCAUAUCAAUAAGCGGAGGAA